AGAGUUUGAUCWUGGCUCAGAACGAACGCUGKCGGCGUGCCUAWCACAUGCAAGUCGAACGGAGAUAAGGGGCUUGCUCCUUAUYUUAGKGGCGCACGGGUGAGUAACGCGUGGAUAAUCUGCCUUGGAAUCUGGGAUAACAUCUCGAAAGGGGUGCUAAUACCGGAUAAGACCACGAGCUCUUCGGRGUUUGCGGUAAAAGGGGGCCUCUGUAUAUGCUUCUGUUUCAAGAUGAGUCCGCGUACCAUUAGCUAGUUGGCAGGGUAAUGGCCUACCAAGGCGACGAUGGUUAGCUGGUCUGAGAGGAUGAUCAGCCACACUGGAACYGAGACACGGUCCAGACUCCUACGGGAGGCAGCAGUGGGGAAUUUUGCGCAAUGGGGGAAACCCUGACGCAGCAACGCCGCGUGAGUGAUGAAGGCCUUCGGGUCGUAAAGCUCUGUCAGAGGGAAAGAAGUGURKGRSGGUUAAUACCCSYUKYACUUGACGGUACCCUCAAAGGAAGCACCGGCUAACUCCGUGCCAGCAGCCGCGGUAAUACGGAGGGUGCAAGCGUUGUUCGGAAUUAUUGGGCGUAAAGCGCGUGUAGGCGGUUUUUUAAGUCUGAUGUGAAAGCCCCGGGCUCAACCUGGGAAGUGCAUUGGAUACUGGAAGACUUGAGUACGGGAGAGGGUAGUGGAAUUCCUAGUGUAGGAGUGAAAUCCGUAGAUAUUAGGAGGAACACCGGUGGCGAAGGCGGCUGCCUGGACCGAUACUGACGCUGAGACGCGAAAGCGUGGGGAGCAAACAGGAUUAGAUACCCUGGUAGUCC
rnacentral:rRNA from 1 species